GCCUGGGGCGGUACGUCUGCCGAAGCCUAACGUGGGGUCCGAAGGUGAGCUCGGGGAGGGCAGGGAACUCCCGUGGAGCAGAAGGGCAAAAGCUCCCUGCAUCCUGGUUUUCGGUAUGUAUACAGACUGUGAAAAUGG
rnacentral:ncRNA from 1 species